CUACGGGGGGCUCCAGUGAGGAAUAUUGCGCAAUGGAGGCAACUCUGACGCAGCAACGCCGCGUGGGUGAUGAAGCUCUAUGGAGUGUAAAGCCCUGUAGACAGGGAAGAAUGGCAUAUGCAGGAAAUGGUAUAUGAUUGACGGUACCUGUAAAGUAAGCACCGGCGUAACUCCGUGCCAGCAGCCGCGGUAAUACGGGGGGUGCAAGCGUUGUCCGGAAUUACUGGGCGUAAAGGGUGUGUAGGCGGCAGAGUCAGUCAGAUGUGAAAGCCCACGGCUUAACCGUGGAAUUGCAUUUGAUACUGCUAGGCUUGAGUUCGAGAGAGGGUAGUGGAAUUCCCAGUGUAGCGGUGAAAUGCGUAGAGAUUGGGAGGAACACCAGUAGCGAAGGCGGCUACCUGGCGCGCAACUGACGCUAAGGCGCGAAAGCGUGGGGAGCAAACAGGAUUAGAUACCCCCGUAGUC
rnacentral:rRNA from 1 species